rnacentral:rRNA from 1 species
UACGGGGGGAGCAAGCGUUGUUCGGAUUUACUGGGCGUAAAGGGCGCGUAGGCGGUCGUGACAAGUCACUUGUGAAAUCUCCGGGCUUAACUCGGAACGGUCAAGUGAUACUGUCGGACUAGAGUACAGAAGGGGCAACUGGAAUUCUCGAUGUAGCGGUGAAAUGCGUAGAUAUCGAGAGGAACACCUGCGGCGAAGGCGGGUUGCUGGGCUGAUACUGACGCUGAGGCGCGAAAGCCAGGGGAGCGAACGGG